AGAGUUUGAUCCUGGCUCAGAUUGAACGCUGGCGGCAGGCCUAACACAUGCAAGUCGAGCGGUAGCACAGAGAGCUUGCUCUCGGGUGACGAGCGGCGGACGGGUGAGUAAUGUCUGGGAAACUGCCUGAUGGAGGGGGAUAACUACUGGAAACGGUAGCUAAUACCGCAUAAUGUCGCAAGACCAAAGUGGGGGACCUUCGGGCCUCAUGCCAUCAGAUGUGCCCAGAUGGGAUUAGCUAGUAGGUGGGGUAACGGCUCACCUAGGCGACGAUCCCUAGCUGGUCUGAGAGGAUGACCAGCCACACUGGAACUGAGACACGGUCCAGACUCCUACGGGAGGCAGCAGUGGGGAAUAUUGCACAAUGGGCGCAAGCCUGAUGCAGCCAUGCCGCGUGUGUGAAGAAGGCCUUCGGGUUGUAAAGCACUUUCAGCGGGGAGGAAGGCGUUAAGGUUAAUAACCUUGGCGAUUGACGUUACCCGCAGAAGAAGCACCGGCUAACUCCGUGCCAGCAGCCGCGGUAAUACGGAGGGUGCAAGCGUUAAUCGGAAUUACUGGGCGUAAAGCGCACGCAGGCGGUCUGUCAAGUCGGAUGUGAAAUCCCCGGGCUUAACCUGGGAACUGCAUUCGAAACUGGCAGGCUAGAGUCUUGUAGAGGGGGGUAGAAUUCCAGGUGUAGCGGUGAAAUGCGUAGAGAUCUGGAGGAAUACCGGUGGCGAAGGCGGCCCCCUGGACAAAGACUGACGCUCAGGUGCGAAAGCGUGGGGAGCAAACAGGAUUAGAUACCCUGGUAGUCCACGCCGUAAACGAUGUCGAUUUGGAGGUUGUGCCCUUGAGGCGUGGCUUCCGGAGCUAACGCGUUAAAUCGACCGCCUGGGGAGUACGGCCGCAAGGUUAAAACUCAAAUGAAUUGACGGGGGCCCGCACAAGCGGUGGAGCAUGUGGUUUAAUUCGAUGCAACGCGAAGAACCUUACCUGGUCUUGACAUCCACAGAACUUUCCAGAGAUGGAUUGGUGCCUUCGGGAACUGUGAGACAGGUGCUGCAUGGCUGUCGUCAGCUCGUGUUGUGAAAUGUUGGGUUAAGUCCCGCAACGAGCGCAACCCUUAUCCUUUGUUGCCAGCGGUUCGGCCGGGAACUCAAAGGAGACUGCCAGUGAUAAACUGGAGGAAGGUGGGGAUGACGUCAAGUCAUCAUGGCCCUUACGACCAGGGCUACACACGUGCUACAAUGGCAUAUACAAAGAGAAGCGACCUCGCGAGAGCAAGCGGACCUCAUAAAGUAUGUCGUAGUCCGGAUUGGAGUCUGCAACUCGACUCCAUGAAGUCGGAAUCGCUAGUAAUCGUAGAUCAGAAUGCUACGGUGAAUACGUUCCCGGGCCUUGCACACACCGCCCGUCA
rnacentral:rRNA from 1 species